rnacentral:rRNA from 1 species
UACAGAGGUCUCAAGCGUUGUUCGGAUUCAUUGGGCGUAAAGGGUGCGUAGGCGGCGCGGUAAGUCGGGUGUGAAAUCUCGGAGCUUAACUCCGAAACUGCAUUCGAUACUGCCGUGCUUGAGGACUGGAGAGGAGACUGGAAUUUACGGUGUAGCGGUGAAAUGCGUAGAUAUCGGGAGGAACACCGGUGGCGAAGGCGGUUCUCUGGGCCUGUACUGACGCUGAGGAGCGAAAGCGUGGGGAGCAAACAGG